rnacentral:tRNA from 1 species
GUCACGGACAGUGGGUGGACGGCGCAUCGGGGAUCGCAGCCCCGAUAUUUGAUGAAAGCGGAUUACCGAUCGGUUCGGUAUCUGUUUCGGGGCC